GAUGAACGCCGGCGGUGUGCCUAAUACAUGCAAGUCGUACGCACUGGCCCAACUGAUUAAUGGUGCUUGCACCUGAUUGACGAUGGAUCACCAGUGAGUGGCGGACGGGUGAGUAACACGUAGGUAACCUGCCCCGGAGCGGGGGAUAACAUUUGGAAACAGAUGCUAAUACCGCAUAACAACAAAAGCCACAUGGCUUUUGUUUGAAAGAUGGCUUUGGCUAUCACUCUGGGAUGGACCUGCGGUGCAUUAGCUAGUUGGUAAGGUAACGGCUUACCAAGGCGAUGAUGCAUAGCCGAGUUGAGAGACUGAUCGGCCACAAUGGAACUGAGACACGGUCCAUACUCCUACGGGAGGCAGCAGUAGGGAAUCUUCCACAAUGGGCGCAAGCCUGAUGGAGCAACACCGCGUGAGUGAAGAAGGGUUUCGGCUCGUAAAGCUCUGUUGUUGGAGAAGAACGUGCGUGAGAGUAACUGUUCACGCAGUGACGGUAUCCAACCAGAAAGUCACGGCUAACUACGUGCCAGCAGCCGCGGUAAUACGUAGGUGGCAAGCGUUAUCCGGAUUUAUUGGGCGUAAAGCGAGCGCAGGCGGUUGCUUAGGUCUGAUGUGAAAGCCUUC
rnacentral:rRNA from 1 species